UAGAGGAGCGUUCUGUAAGCCUGUGAAGGUGAGUUGAGAAGCUUGCUGGAGGUAUCAGAAGUGCGAAUGCUGACAUGAGUAACGACAAUGGGUGUGAAAAACACCCACGCCGAAAGACCAAGGGUUCCUGCGCAACGUUAAUCGACGCAGGGUUAGUCGGUUCCUAAGGCGAGGCUGAAAAGCGUAGUCGAUGGGAAACAGGUUAAUAUUCCUGUACUUCUGGUUACUGCGAUGGAGGGACGGAGAAGGCUAGGCCAGCUUGGCGUUGGUUGUCCAAGUUUAAGGUGGUAGGCUGAAAUCUUAGGUAAAUCCGGGGUUUCAAGGCCGAGAGCUGAUGACGAGUCGUCUUUUAGAUGACGAAGUGGUUGAUGCCAUGCUUCCAAGAAAAGCUUCUAAGCUUCAGGUAACCAGGAACCGUACCCCAAACCGACACAGGUGGUCGGGUAGAGAAUACCAAGGCGCUUGAGAGAACUCGGGUGAAGGAACUAGGCAAAAUGGCACCGUAACUUCGGGAGAAGGUGCGCCGGCUAGGGUGAAGGAUUUACUCCGUAAGCUCUGGCUGGUCGAAGAUACCAGGCCGCUGCGACUGUUUAUUAAAAACACAGCACUCUGCAAACACGAAAGUGGACGUAUAGGGUGUGACGCCUGCCCGGUGCCGGAAGGUUAAUUGAUGGGGUUAGCGCAAGCGAAGCUCUUGAUCGAAGCCCCGGUAAACGGCGGCCGUAACUAUAACGGUCCUAAGGUAGCGAAAUUCCUUGUCGGGUAAGUUCCGACCUGCACGAAUGGCGUAACGAUGGCGGCGCUGUCUCCACCCGAGACUCAGUGAAAUUGAAAUCGCUGUGAAGAUGCAGUGUAUCCGCGGCUAGACGGAAAGACCCCGUGAACCUUUACUGUAGCUUUGCACUGGACUUUGAGCCUGCUUGUGUAGGAUAGGUGGGAGGCUUUGAAGCGUGGACGCCAGUUCGCGUGGAGCCAUCCUUGAAAUACCACCCUGGCAUGCUUGAGGUUCUAACUCUGGUCCGUAAUCCGGAUCGAGGACAGUGUAUGGUGGGCAGUUUGACUGGGGCGGUCUCCUCCUAAAGAGUAACGGAGGAGUACGAAGGUGCGCUCAGACCGGUCGGAAAUCGGUCGCAGAGUAUAAAGGCAAAAGCGCGCUUGACUGCGAGACAGACACGUCGAGCAGGUACGAAAGUAGGUCUUAGUGAUCCGGUGGUUCUGUAUGGAAGGGCCAUCGCUCAACGGAUAAAAGGUACUCCGGGGAUAACAGGCUGAUACCGCCCAAGAGUUCAUAUCGACGGCGGUGUUUGGCACCUCGAUGUCGGCUCAUCACAUCCUGGGGCUGAAGCCGGUCCCAAGGGUAUGGCUGUUCGCCAUUUAAAGUGGUACGCGAGCUGGGUUUAGAACGUCGUGAGACAGUUCGGUCCCUAUCUGCCGUGGACGUUUGAGAUUUGAGAGGGGCUGCUCCUAGUACGAGAGGACCGGAGUGGACGAACCUCUGGUGUUCCGGUUGUCACGCCAGUGGCAUUGCCGGGUAGCUAUGUUCGGAAAAGAUAACCGCUGAAAGCAUCUAAGCGGGAAACUUGCCUCAAGAUGAGAUCUCACUGGGAACUUGAUUCCCCUGAAGGGCCGUCGAAGACUACGACGUUGAUAGGCUGGGUGUGUAAGCGUUGU
rnacentral:rRNA from 1 species